rnacentral:rRNA from 1 species
AGUGGACGCUGGCGGUAGGCCUAACACAUGCAAGUCGAACGGCAGCACAGUAAGAGCUUGCUCUUACGGGUGGCGAGUGGCGGACGGGUGAGGAAUACAUCGGAAUCUACUUUUUCGUGGGGGAUAACGUAGGGAAACUUACGCUAAUACCGCAUACGACCUACGGGUGAAAGCAGGGGAUCUUCGGACCUUGCGCGAUUGAAUGAGCCGAUGUCGGAUUAGCUAGUUGGCGGGGUAAAGGCCCACCAAGGCGACGAUCCGUAGCUGGUCUGAGAGGAUGAUCAGCCACACUGGAACUGAGACACGGUCCAGACUCCUACGGGAGGCAGCAGUGGGGAAUAUUGGACAAUGGGCGCAAGCCUGAUCCAGCCAUACCGCGUGAGUGAAGAAGGCCUUCGGGUUGUAAAGCCCUUUUGUUGGGAAAGAAAAGCAGCAGGUUAAUACCCCGCUGUUCUGACGGUACCCAAAGAAUAAGCACCGGCUAACUUCGUG